ACUAUGAUGAUGGAUAUGGCACUGCUUAUGAUGAACAGAGUUAUGAUUCCUAUGAUAACAGCUAUAGCACCCCAGCCCAAAGUAAUUUUUUUCUAUGAACAAUCCCUUUUUAAAUAAAUCAAAAUACUUAAAAUCUGAAUGGAUGGAACUUAAAACUACUUUGUUGAAACAUCAACCUGGGCAGAAAAAAAAAAAA
rnacentral:sRNA from 1 species